AGACCAAUGUAAUCACGUGAUCCCUUAAAAGCAUAAGAGGAGGGUGAAGGGUUGUGACAGGGAAGUCAGAGAGAUUUCAAGAGUGAGCCUUGUUUGAGGUGCAGGCUCUAAGACAUAAAGGUCAUGUGCAGUGACUGGAGACAGGCUUCUAGGAGCUUAUUCAGAGCAUGGAAAAAGCUCUAGGAGCAAAGAGUGGUCUUGGGUGACAACUAGAAGGAACCAAGAACCUCAAUCCCACAACCACUAGGAACUGAAUUCAGCCGGCCUAAAAGAGCAUGGACGCAGAUCAUCCCCAGAGCCUCCGCAGGAGCAUUGGUGCUCAACCCUUUCUGGAAGCUUCUGGCUUGGUGAAAUUCAUACCAGGGUGAGAGCUUCAGACUGACUUUCAAAUCAAUUAGGAAGACUCUGCUUCCACUGAGGUCUGGAAAAUCGAAAUUAUUGAACGUUCCUCGGCACUGACACCUGGACCUGACUGGCAUAAAGUAGCACAACUUUGCAACCAAGCCCUCUGGAGCUGCCUGUUCGGGGACACUAGCAGCCACAGCUGGACUGCGGCGGAGGAGGCGUUUCCUUGAGUCUUGUGUUCUGCUUUGCGGCAGUGAUGGCUGGAUCUGUCUCCAGGCUCUCAGACAUCUUGUCACAGAUGAUAUCCACGAGACGCUCAAAUGUCUGCUUGACAUUAAUGUUAUCCUUGGCACUUGUUUCAAAAAAUUCAAAUCCUGGAAGAAACACACAGAAACACAGCUUGAUCAUUUCCUACGCGUGCUGAAAUUAAAUGGGACGUGGUCAUGGGA